rnacentral:lncRNA from 1 species
GUUUAACUGGGCACUGUGGUACAGGUCUGUAAUCCCAGUGACUUGGGAGGCUGAGUCAGGAAAAUUGCAAAUUUGUACCAGCCUGUGAAAUUUAGUAAGAACCUGUUUUAAAAUUUCAAAAUAAAUAAACAAAAGGGCUAGAGAUGUAGCUCAGAUGUAGAGAGCUUGACUAGUGUAUUGAAGCUCUGGAUUCAAUCCUAAUACUACCAAAAAAAGGUGUCGAACUCUUCCACAAGGGCAUUUUUAUCAUUUGUGCAUCAAUGGAGAUAGUCAUAUGACUUAUUAAUAUCUCUUCUUAAAUUUACUUAAGAGAGCCUAUAAAGCAAGUUGUAUGAGUUUCCUUAUAUUUCAAGCUUGCUUGUUUAGGAAAGGGCAUCAUUGAAAUAAAUUUGUUUCAGAAUUGUGAAAUAUCAAUCAAUGUAGUCUUUAUGCAACUUGACGUUUCCUUCCCAGUCUUGCUAUUUGAAAUGUGUAACCAUUUCACCAAGAAAAGUUGAAAUUUUAAAUUUAAGUUGCUCAUGGAAUUGUGGGUGGAUGGGAUCUCAGCAUCUAAUUGCUUGCCUUCAGAUGGGAAUCAUCAAUGGAUACUAAAGUGAAUGGGCAAAAUAUGAUCAGAAGUAGAUACUUAUUAAAGUUCAAGGGAAAACAGUGAUUUUACCCUGGGCAGAUAACACUUUAAGUGAUCCAAGUUAUCAGCAUUAAUAGGAUAAAUCAACAUAAUAUGCUACUGAGACAGACACAACAUUCCUUCUGUGAUGAACAUACAUCAAAAUGCAUAAUCUGAAUUUAAUCAUGAGGAAAUAUCAGAGAAAAUGAAAAUGAGGAACAGUCUGCAAAAUAACUGGGUAGUACUCUUCAAAGGAAUCAAGAUCAUGGAUGACAAAGACUGAAAAACUUCCAGAUUAAAGGAGACCAAGAUGGCAUGACAACUAAAUGGAAAAUGUGAUCCUGGAUAAAAAAUAGGACUUUAAUGGGACAAUUUGUGACAUUUGAAUAGAGUAUAUAGAUUAUAGUACUAAAUCAGUGUUUAUUAUUUUGACAAUUAUCUUCUUUAUUCAAGACAUUUACAUUUGGGAAAUUUUUGUAAAAGGAAAAUGGGAAUUCUUUACACUAUUUUUACAAAGUUUUUGUUAGUCAUAAAUUGAAAAUGAAAAGUUACAAGUAAAAACAAUGAAAGAUCUUUUUUUUUUUUUUUUUGAGGGAUUGAGCCCAUGGGUGCUUUAUCACUGAGCCACAUCCCCAGCCCUUUUGUAAUGUUUUAUGUUUAGACAGGGUCUUGCUGAGUUGUUUAGGGCCUUGCUAAGUUGCUGACUUUUGUCUCAAGCUUGCUAUCCUCCUGCCUCAGCCUCCUGAGCUGCUGGGAUUAUAGGUAUGCACCACUGGGCCCAGCUCUGGCAAAAGAUUUUUAUCCUUAUAAAAUAUAUCAUGAGUGAAAUGCUCGUUGUUUGGGGUUUGCUGGAAAAUAAUGUAAUUGGGAAGUAUGGGGGGAAGGUAUAAGUUAUGUAAGGUUGGCCAUAUGAUGAUGAUUUUUG